AUUGAACGCUGGCGGCAUGCCUUACACAUGCAAGUCGAACGGUAACGCGGGGCAACCUGACGACGAGUGGCGAACGGGUGAGUAAUGCAUCGGAACGUGCCCGGUAGUGGGGGAUAACUGCUCGAAAGAGCAGCUAAUACCGCAUACGACCUGAGGGUGAAAGGGGGGGAUCGCAAGACCUCUCGCUAUCGGAGCGGCCGAGGUCGGAUUAGCGAGUUGGUGGGGUAAAAGCCCACCAAGGCAACGAUCCGUAGCUGGUCUGAGAGGACGACCAGCCACACUGGGACUGAGACACGGCCCAGACUCCUACGGGAGGCAGCAGUGGGGAAUUUUGGACAAUGGACGCAAGUCUGAUCCAGCCAUGCCGCGUGCGGGAAGAAGGCCUUCGGGUUGUAAACCGCUUUUGUCAGGGAAGAAAUCUUCUGAGUUAAUACCUCGGGAGGAUGACGGUACCUGAAGAAUAAGCACCGGCUAACUACGUGCCAGCAGCCGCCGUAACAC
rnacentral:rRNA from 1 species